GGCCAAUCCUAUUAAAGGAUGGGCUUGGCUCAUAAACCAAUCAAAGACCCCCAGAGGGGCGGGUUUUCUUGGGCUUGGAUCCUAGUUGGGGGGGGAGGUGUAAAAAUAAAGUGUUUCCACCUCCAGCCAAUCCCAGGGAAGACAGGAGGGCACUCCUCCAAUAGGAUCCUGGAGCCGUCUGUAGCAGUGGCUGCCUGCGACCACCCCUAGCACUCUGGCAGGCGGGAGGGACGCAUCCGGUGCAUUCGCGAGGUCCAGUUGCCGGUACCUGGGAUCUUCUUGCGCGAGGCAGUGGCGGCACCGACGGCCCGAGGUUCCCGGUCAGCAGGUUGCGGAGGAUCGUGCGGGUAGCAAAAGGAGGGCGAGUGCUACUGCGGCCCCAGACAGCGACCAGGUAAGUACCCUGCGGAGCCCACCCCCAUGCCUGCCCUCCGCGCUCCCCUCAUUUCUGUCUCUUGGUAAACGGUGUACUUUGCAGGUCUGCAGCUCACGUGAUUGUCUGCGUGCUUGUCUCAAAGUCUCCGUCUCUCUCUGCCCACUCCACUCCGUGUCUGUCCCCACCUUUCUGUCUGCCUGUACCUUUCUGUCUGGCUCCCUCUCUGAGACACAGGAGACCACCCAGACCUACAAGGCUGAAUCCUGCUCCAAGCAAUAAAAACUAGCUGUAAAACCUCUAGCCUCACCCAGCUGGGCCUCAGUUUCCUCAUCUGUCAAAUGAGAGUCUAAUAAUCUCCUGAGACAAUACAUGUGCCUCACUUUGCCCUGCUGCCUGGCCCCUAGAAAAGUGUCAAUAAAUAAUAACUGUUAUGAUUGAAAAGAAUAUAGUCUCUCUUGGCCUUUGCCUUUAUUUUUUCCUGUCUCUGACCCUCCCCCCACCCCAAUUGGUUCUUCUUUGUGAAUGUUUCUUUCUCUGUUAUUGCUUUUCCUCUUUCUGCCUCUUUCCCAUCCCGAAGCUGGUUAGAGGUACAUUGUUUAUAGCAAUGAGCUUGACCUAAGAGUGCCUAUCAGCUUAGUCUGGGGCUCUUGUCUGUUCUGUGGGUAAAAAAACGGAGCCUGGCCUUAGGCUGCUUCUGGUCUCAUUGAGGAGACAGUGUUCCCCAGCUACUGUGUUAAAUAUGUGAGACCUACCCCCGUAGGGUGGGGAGCAGCUUAGAUGAAAAAGUGAAUCAGGCUCCUAUCCUGUAUCAUGUUAGUUACUACAAGAAAACCAGAGACCAGGGGUCUUCUCAUUACAGCCCCGGAGUUGACCAGGCGUCUGGAACUCACCUUCAGUCAUCAGCAAAAUCCCCUUCAUUCUCACCCUGGUUUCUGAAUAGUCCUGUUGGGUUUUUUUGCCUUACCUUAGUGGUUCGCAUACCUUUUGGACACAGCACUCCAUUUUUAUAAUGUACAUUUUGAAAUAUCUCCUUCACUGUUCUGAACUGAAGUGCAUAGAUAAUAGAAUCUGUCUACACACAUAAUUCCCCUCAGAACCAAUAUAGUGUUCUAAUUGGAUAUAAGGGAGAAGUAAAGGAAAAAUAAUUUAUAAUAAAGCAAUAUAUUUCAUUAUCUUUUUUUUCUUUUAAAAUAUAUAUUUCAAUAUGUAAAGGCUGGGAUAUAAUUCCACUGGAAGACAUAUGGAGUGGUCUUGAACAUAAUGGAGUGGUCUUUAGAAUAUAUAUAUAUAUAUAUAUAAUGCUUGUACCUGGGAGUGUACAUAUAAUGCUUGUACCUGGGAGUGUGACAGCUACACUGUGACUCAGAAACCAUGGAUAGGGUGAUGUGAUUUUCCUAGAUGAUGAGCAGUUCUUUAUAAGGUUCUAAACAAAACAAAGUACAAUCUUCCCUCUAUUUAUAUGAUGGUUGAAUUACUGGAAAAGUCAUUAUAUACUAAAAUCCAUAAUCUGGCUCCCAUAAGCUCUCUGAUCUUAUCUCCUACGACUCUCCCCACUUACUCCCUCUCUUUCACCCAUCCUGACCUCCUCUAGGCUACUUGAACAUAUUAGGCACACAUCCACCUCAGGAGGUUGAACUGGGCCAUCCGUUGUACCUAGAAUGCUCCCCUCUCCAAUAUCCACAAAGCUCAUGCCCUCACCUCCUUCAGGCCUCUACUCAGAUGUCACUUUCUCAAUGAGGCCUACCCUGACCUUCAUAUUUAAAAUUGUAGCACUCCCCUAGCACAUACCCUGCUCUGUUUUUUCCAUAGUGCUUCUCACCCUCUUACGUAACAUAAUUUACAUCUUUAUUAUGUUUGUUGUUUAUUGUCUGACUCUCGCACUCAAUUGUAAACUCCAGAAGGGCAGACAUGGUUUGUUUGUGUCCUGAUGUAUCCCUAUUACCUGAAACAAUGCUUGGACAUAGUAGUCUCUCAAUAAAUGUUUAUUGAAUGAAUGAAUGAAUGAACAGGUUUUUCACCUACGUGAUUAUCUGAUGGAACAUUCUAAAGUUGCAUGGGAUGCAUUAUGAUUGUUAGCCGUGUGGAGCUGUUUUAGCCGUGUGUGAGCAUCCCUGCUCAGUGCCCACUGAAUGUCACAAGUAAUCUCCAAUUAUUUUGACAGUCAAAAAUGCUCCCAAAACACCCCUUGCCUGUCUGUUCAAUCCCUCACUGAGAACAACUACUUGAAUAGAAAUCUGGCUUUUCCCUGAGCACUCUGCUCCCCCAGCAGCCCCCUCAUACCCCUCCUGCCAGGAGUUUAGGACAUGAGAGUAGGUGUCCUCACUCUAUAUGUCCUUUCUAGACAUUUUCUCUCCCUCCUCCUUAAACAUUGUUUUUUUAGAAUUAAAACCUUCUUAUUUUUAAAUAAUUUCAGACUUUUUAAAAGUUAUAAAAACAAUACAAAGAAUCCCCAUAUAUCCUUCACUUAGAUUCCCCAAAUGUUAAGAAAUUAUACAACUACAUUUCAAUUAUCAAAAUUAGGAAAUGAACAAUGGUACAAUACUCUUAAUGAAAGUAUAGAACCUAUUUGAAUUUCAUCAUUUUUUCC
ensembl:lincRNA